rnacentral:rRNA from 1 species
UCCAGACUCCUACGGGAGGCAGCAGUGGGGGAUAUUGCACAAUGGGGGAAACCCUGAUGCAGCGACGCCGCGUGAGUGAAGAAGUAUUUCGGUAUGUAAAGCUCUAUCAGCAGGGAAGAAAAAAGACGGUACCUGACUAAGAAGCCCCGGCUAACUACGUGCCAGCAGCCGCGGUAAUACGUAGGGGGCAAGCGUUAUCCGGAUUUACUGGGUGUAAAGGGAGCGUAGACGGCAAUACAAGUCGGAAGUGAAAUACCCGGGCUCAACCUGGGAACUGCUUUGGAAACUGUAUGGCUGGAGUGCUGGAGAGGUAAGCGGAAUUCCUAGUGUAGCGGUGAAAUGCGUAGAUAUUAGGAGGAACACCAGUGGCGAAGGCGGCUUACUGGACAGUAACUGACGUUGAGGCUCGAAAGCGUGGGGAGCAAACAGGAUUAGAUACCCCUGUAC